UACGUAGGUGGCGAGCGUUGUCCGGAUUUACUGGGCGUAAAGAGCGCGCAGGCGGUCGUUCAAGUCGCGUGUGAAAGCCCCCGGCUCAACUGGGGAGGGUCACGCGAUACUGAUCGACUCGAAGGCAGGAGAGGGAAGUGGAAUUCCCGGUGUAGUGGUGAAAUGCGUAGAUAUCGGGAGGAACACCAGUGGCGAAGGCGACUUCCUGGACCGAUACUGACGCUGAGGCGCGAAAGCUAGGGGAGCAACCGG
rnacentral:rRNA from 1 species